AACGAACGCUGGCGGCAUGCCUAACACAUGCAAGUCGAACGAGACCUUCGGGUCUAGUGGCGCACGGGUGCGUAACGCGUGGGAACCUGCACUUAGGUUCGGAAUAACUCUCCGAAAGGGGUGCUAAUACCGGAUAAUGUCUUCGGACCAAAGAUUUAUCGCCUUUGGAUGGGCCCGCGUUGGAUUAGCUCGUUGGUAGGGUAAAAGCCUACCAAGGCGUCGAUCCAUAGCUGGUCUGAGAGGAUGGUCAGCCACACUGGGACUGAGACACGGCCCAGACUCCUACGGGAGGCAGCAGUGGGUAAUAUUGGACAAUGGGCGAAAGCCUGAUCCAGCAAUGCCGCGUGAGUGAUGAAGGCCUUAGGGUUGUAAAGCUCUUUUACCCGGGAUGAUAAUGACAGUACCGGGAGAAUAAGCUCCGGCUAACUCCGUG
rnacentral:rRNA from 1 species